rnacentral:rRNA from 1 species
CGCGUAGGUGGUAGUGUAAGUCUGAGGUGGAAUCCCAGGGCUUAACCCUGGAACUGCCUUGGAAACUGCAUUACUUGAGUCAGUGAGGGGAGGGUAGAAUUCCUGGUGUAGCGGUGAAAUGCGUAGAUAUCAGGAGGAAGGCCUGUGGCGAAGGCGGCCCUCUGGUGCUGGACUGACACUGAGGCGCGAAAGCGUGGGGAGCAAACAGGAUUAGAUACCCUGGUAGUCCACGCCCUAAACGGUGGGCACUAGGUGUAGGGCUCGUAAGGGUUCUGUGCCGAAGGGAAACCAUUAAGUGCCCCGCUGGGGAGUACGGCCGCAAGGUUGAA